GCUGUUUUCUACAAACAGGCUGAAGCAAAGUUUGGCUAUCUUCUGGAGGCUCUUGACAUGGGUGCUCCUCCUCAUGGUGGAAUUGCUAAUGGAUUAGAUAGGAUGGUAAUGAUGCUGGCAGGUGCGAGUUCCAUAAGGGAUGUAAUAGCUUUCCCAAAGACAACCACUGCGCAAUGUGCACUAACCAGAACUCCCUCGGAAGUCGAUCCAAAGCAGCUCCAAGAUCUCUCCAUCCGCACCAACUAAUAGCGAUCUCAUCACAAGCAUCAUUUAUGUCUUUAAUGCUAUGAGAAGAGGAGUAAGUAGAGAUGUGGUAGUGGUAUAUCUCACCUUUACUAACCUGGUUCAUGUGAUUGAUUACACAUGAAACUCAUCACUUGCAUCAAAUUCUCUUUACUUUUUUUGGUUUUGUUUUAUUAUUCUCACAAAGUCUUCUUGCAGACUAAGGUAUUGGUUUAGAGCAAAGGGAAAGCUUUCUGAUGACCAAGCCUUGCAUCGAUGUGUUGUGGCAUUUGCUUCGGAUUUGAUAUUUGCAAGUAUCAGUUUGAACCCUCGCCGUAUAGCCGGUGAAUUCUUCUUAUAACAAAUUGCUGACAGAAUUCGUAAGUAAAUAAUAAUAGUUGCAUCUUCCAAUUUCGAAUGAUAAGUCGUAUUGUUCUAAAAAAAUUCAAAAGCCUUGCAAAACUUAAGAUCAAAAGUCUUGAAGGAACGUAAAUUGGAAAUUCCUGAAAACACAACAACCAUAUAAACGAUGAAUUUUUUUUUUAAAUACAUAACUCAUAUAUCGUUUUGAUAACCUAAUAACAUAGAAAUUAAAAUAUAUUGUAGUAUAAUUACAUAUAAACUACAAAAUUAAGAAUUUCACUAUAGAUGGGAUGAAGCUGCUCUCGACAAAUCUGAUAAAACUAAAAAAGGUUAGUAAUCAAUUUUUGAAAAAUCAUAGAUUAUUUUUUUCAUUGAAUUAUUUGUAUACUAUACCAAGAAUCGUAUUUUAGUAUUUGUUUUAACUACAUAUAAUAGAAUUAACUAAAUAUAAAUUA